GUGGAGAGUUUGAUCCUGGCUCAGAUUGAACGCUGGCGGCAGGCCUAACACAUGCAAGUCGAGCGGUAACAGGAGUGCUUGCACUCGCUGACGAGCGGCGGACGGGUGAGUAAUGCCUAAGAAUCUGCCUAGUGGUGGGGGAUAGCCCGGGGAAACUCGGAUUAAUACCGCAUACGCCCUACGGGGGAAAGCGGGGGAUCUUCGGACCUCGCGCCAUUAGAUGAGCUUAGGUCAGAUUAGCUAGUUGGUGAGGUAAUGGCUCACCAAGGCGACGAUCUGUAGCUGGUCUGAGAGGAUGAUCAGCCACAUUGGGACUGAGACACGGCCCAAACUCCUACGGGAGGCAGCAGUCGGGAAUAUUGGACAAUGGGCGCAAGCCUGAUCCAGCCAUGCCGCGUGAAUGAUGAAGGCCCUAGGGUUGUAAAAUUCUUUCAGCAGGGAAGAUAAUGACGGUACCUGCAGAAGAAGCCCCGGCUAACUCCGUGCCAGCAGCCGCGGUAAUACG
rnacentral:rRNA from 1 species